UGAGCAAUCUGCCCUUCUCAUCGGAAUAAGCGUUGGAAACGACGUCUAAUGCCGAAUACGACCUCCUUUCACAUGAUCGGAGGUGGAAAGCUCCGGCGGAGAAGGAUGAGCUCGCGGCCUAUCAGCUAGUUGGUGCGGGUAACGCCCACCAAGGCGACGACGGGUAGCCGGCCUGAGAGGGCGAUCGGCCACACUGGGACUGAGACACGGCCCAGACUCCUACGGGAGCAG
rnacentral:rRNA from 1 species